GGGUUGCAAAAGAAGUAGGUAGCUUAACCUUCGGGAGGGCGCUUACCACUUUGUGAUUCAUGACUGGGGUGAAGUCGUAACAAGGUAACCGUAGGGGAACCUGCGGUUGGAUCACCUCCUUACCUUAAAGAAGC
rnacentral:rRNA from 5 species